rnacentral:rRNA from 1 species
CACGUAGGGGGCGAGCGUUGUCCGGAUUUAUUGGGCGUAAAGAGCUCGUAGGCGGUUUCGUAAGUCGGAUGUGAAAACUCCAGGCUCAACUUGGAGACGCCAUUCGAUACUGCGAUGACUUGAGUCCGGUAGGGGAGUGUGGAAUUCCUGGUGUAGCGGUGAAAUGCGCAGAUAUCAGGAGGAACACCGGCGGCGAAGGCGGCACUCUGGGCCGGUACUGACGCUGAGGAGCGAAAGCGCGGGUAGCAAACAGG